UCAACCUGCUAACUCAUGUGACUCCUACAAAUUGCCUUGACUUCACUUGGAUUUUACCUCAUGUUAGUUAACUAUAGAUUCAUAGAGUUUUAAGGUCUGAAGAGAACAUUAACUCAUCUAGUCUGAUCUCCUGUAUAUUGCAGGCCAUUAAAUUUCACCCAGUUUGCUAACUCAUGUUAAGAACACACCUUUUUUCCUAGUGAAGACAAGGCCAUAGAGACUCAACGAUCUGGAUAAGCACAAAUAAGCUGCACACAGCACUGCACAAAGACAGCCUUUUUGGAAGAGGAAGACAAAGCGCAACCUUUUUCUGGAAUUCGAGGAUAAAGACGUCUCUUUCUGGGAAUUGUUUACACCUGGACACCAGGGAGCAGACUGAACAGCCAAAAAAGACUGAGGGACCUACAUUCAAGUGCUUCUUUCUUGGAAGAAACUUAACGCCAGAUAACACUGAACAUUUACUGUAUCAGCUCUGGAGCACAGG